AGCAGCUUCAAUGACGGAUGCAACAUGGAAAUAACUGGCACCAAUUAUUAUAACACCUUAUUGGUCGUCGUUACUAUUGUUAAAAGUAAAACGAAAUCAAAGAGAAUAGAACUAUGUUUGAAUUCUGGUUUAAAUAUGACGUCUGGACGCACGACAGAGGACUGCAGAGUUCAGCGAGGGCGGAGCAUAAAGAAUGUGAUUAUGAAGAACCUUCGAGAAAUACAAGAACAUUUAGAAGACUUGAAGUUCCAUUUUAAAAUAUCUGGAACGUACUGGAACGUACUGAAACAAGUGACAUUAGAGACGUCAGCGAGGCUGGCGUCCUGUCUUUAAAAUAAUGAAUUUAUAAUAAAAUCCGAUAUCAGAAGUGGGAUCGCUCUAGUGAUCAGUUACUGCCGGUCUUAGUGUAUUUGUAAAUCCUGAUCCAGCUCAAGAAAAUAAUCAUCCGGAGAACUUGCGUAAUGAAGAACGCUCCUCAGUCUUUCAUGCAAAUGAUGUCAACAAUGCAGAGCGUGACCGAACGUUUGCUACUAAAAAAAACAAGGGAUACGAUUAAAAUUACUAACAAGAUCAUAUUAAUUUUAUCAUCUUUUGAUCCCGGUGAUAGUGUGUGUGUUCGGGAUUGAUUCAAACGCAUCUUUACGGCUGUAAAUACGUACCAAAUCAGUAACUACGACAUUCGAAUUAAAGUCUUUUAAAGGAGUGAGCUAGAAAGUGUGCAGACGAUUGGUUAGUUGCAACAUCUACACAAGAGGCAUUACGUGAGACCAUAGCUAACAUUUCUUAUUAUCCUUUGAGCUAACCUCGUGUCCAUGAUGUAUUCUGAAGAGAACCAUGAGAUUCUGUAGGGAAGGCUUGUGGUACCGUGACAAGACAAUUAUACACCACAGAUCUGGAGAGCGUGACCUCUGAGCCAAUCGCGUGUUACCCUUGAGCUAACCACGGGUCCUUGAUGUAUCCAUAAGAGAACCAUGAGAUUCCGUAGGGAUGCCUUGUGGAGCCGUGAGAAGACAAGUCUACACCACAGAUGUGGAGAGCGUACCUCUGAACUAAUCGCGUGUUACUCUUGAGCCAACCACAGGUCCUUGCUGUAUCCUUAAGAAUACCAUGAGAUGACGUAGGGAGGCCUUGGGAAGACUUGAGUAGAAAGGUACUCACUCGAUCUAUAAGAACUUGCAUGAUUUUAAUAUCAAACUACUAAGACCAUUGCUUUAUUUAAAUACGACAAUAGACAUACUCUUCACAGUAAUAUUUGCAACAUGUCUGGUUAACACACGGCAGUGCCUCUACAAAAACGAUGCUGUAAUUCAAACGGAAGCAUACUCGACUCCAAAAUCCUGAUCAAAUACAUCUAUUGCGAAUAUAACUAAUUUCAGUUCCUUUUGUGCUAACCGUGAUCAUGCGUUUGAAUCGUGUUUCCGACGAGAAAAAGAAGAUGACGCCGAAUUUCAAUUCAAUAUCGACUGUUCCAGGUUUUGAAACGACUACUAAUAUAUUAACCGGAGCAGAUUUAUUACGUGAUAAGAAUACAUGUGGAAAAUUUAGUAUCCUUGCCGAUGUUUUGCACAUACGAACAAGUCAAUUAUGCUUUGACAGUUUAGAUUACAAUUCAACAAUCAGUCCGUUUAAAUCGAAGUAAUGCACCAACACAUUCAAAACAGGAUGGUCGAGGCGGAGAGAAGAUACAAAGCUAGGUUUUUGAGAGGUCGAGCUACGAUUAAAAGAUUCCAGAAGGGAGAUAUUGUAAUAAUAAAAAUAUAA